UACGAAGGGGGCUAGCGUUGUUCGGAAUCACUGGGCGUAAAGGGCGCGUAGGCGGCGCGACAAGUCAGGCGUGAAAGCCCCGGGCUCAACCCGGGAAUUGCGCUUGAUACUGUCGUGCUCGAGGCCGGGAGAGGAUGGCGGAAUUCCCAGUGUAGAGGUGAAAUUCGUAGAUAUUGGGAAGAACACCGGUGGCGAAGGCGGCCAUCUGGACCGGUUCUGACGCUGAGGCGCGAAAGCGUGGGGAGCAAACAGG
rnacentral:rRNA from 1 species